rnacentral:rRNA from 1 species
GACGAACGCUGGCGGCGUGCUUAACACAUGCAAGUCGAACGAUGAAGCCGGAGCUUGCUCUGGUGAAUUAGUGGCGAACGGGUGAGUAACACGUGAGUAACCUGCCCUUGACUCUGGGAUAACUGCGGGAAACUGUAGCUAAUACCGGAUACGACCCUCGGAGGCAUCUCCUGGGGGUGGAAAGAAUUUCGGUCAAGGAUGGACUCGCGGCCUAUCAGCUAGUUGGUGAGGUAAAGGCUCACCAAGGCGACGACGGGUAGCCGGCCUGAGAGGGUGACCGGCCACAAUGGGACUGAGACACGGCCCAGACUCCUACGGGAGGCAGCAGUGGGGAAUAUUGCACAAUGGGCGCAAGCCUGACGCAGCAACGCCGCGUGAGGGAUGACGGCCUUCGGGUUGUAAACCUCUUUCAGCAGGGAAGAAGCGAAAGUGACGGUACCUGCAGAAGAAGCACCGGCUAACUACGUGCCAGCCGCCGCAGUAA